CCUACGGGAGGCAGCAGUGGGGAAUUUUGGACAAUGGGCGCAAGCCUGAUCCAGCAAUGCCGCGUGAGUGAAGAAGGCCUUCGGGUUGUAAAGCUCUUUUGUCAGGGAAGAAACGGUGGUUCCUAAUACGGACUACUAAUGACGGUACCUGAAGAAUAAGCACCGGCUAACUACGUGCCAGCAGCCGCGGUAAUACGUAGGGUGCAAGCGUUAAUCGGAAUUACUGGGCGUAAAGCGUGCGCAGGCGGUUAUAUAAGUCAGAUGUGAAAUCCCCGGGCUCAACCUGGGAACUGCAUUUGAGACUGUAUGGCUAGAGUGUGUCAGAGGGGGGUAGAAUUCCACGUGUAGCAGUGAAAUGCGUAGAUAUGUGGAGGAAUACCGAUGGCGAAGGCAGCCCCCUGGGAUAACACUGACGCUCAUGCACGAAAGCGUGGGGAGCAAACAGGAUUAGAUACCCUGGUAGUCCACGCCCUAAACGAUGUCUACUAGUUGUCGGGACUUAAUUGUCUUGGUAACGCAGCUAACGCGUGAAGUAGACCGCCUGGGGAGUACGGUCGCAAGAUUAAACUUAAAGGAAUUGACGG
rnacentral:rRNA from 1 species